UAGUGGCGAACGGGUGAGUAACACGUGGGCAAUCUGCCCUUCACUCUGGGACAAGCCCUGGAAACGGGGUCUAAUACCGGAUAAUACUUCUGCCUGCAUGGGUGGGGGUUGAAAGCUCCGGCGGUGAAGGAUGAGCCCGCGGCCUAUCAGCUUGUUGGUGGGGUGAUGGCCUACCAAGGNGACGACGGGUAGCCGGCCUGAGAGGGCGACCGGCCACACUGGGACUGAGACACGGCCCAGACUCCUACGGGAGGCAGCAGUGGGGAAUAUUGCACAAUGGGCGGAAGCCUGAUGCAGCGACGCCGCGUGAGGGAUGACGGCCUUCGGGUUGUAAACCUCUUUCAGCAGGGAAGAAGCGCAAGUGACGGUACCUGCAGAAGAAGCGCCGGCUAACUACGUGCCAGCAGCCCGNGGUAAUACGUAGGGCGCAAGCGUUGUCCGNAAUUAUUGGGCGAAAAGAGCUCGUAGGCGGCUUGUCGGGUCGGAUGUGAAAGCCCGGGGCUUAACCCCGGGUCUGCAUUCGAUACGGGCAGGCUAGAGUGUGGUAGGGGAGAUCGGAAUUCCU
rnacentral:rRNA from 1 species